UACGUAGGCAGCGAGCGUUGUUCGGAGUUACUGGGCGUAAAGAGUGCGUAGGCGGUUUUCUAAGUUUGGUGUGAAAUCUCCCGGCUUAACUGGGAGGUGCGCCGAAACUGGAAGGCUUGAGUAUGGGAGAGGUAAGCGGAAUCCUGGUGUAGCGGUGAAAUGCGUAGAUAUCAGGAGGAACACCGGUGGCGAAGGCGGUUCGCUGGGCCU
rnacentral:rRNA from 1 species